GUCAGGUCUUUCAGAGGCGAGGCCAGAGUCCUUCCUGUCAGGUAUAACCACAAAUGGAACAGCCUUUUGAGUGUGCAGGUGUGCCUCUUUGCGUGAUUGGAAAGUCCUGUUUAAAUUCAACCAUUCGAGGAUCCUUCCUAGACUUUGGGAUACAGCAAGGGAAGUGUUGAAACCUUCAACAAGACAAGAUUGUACGGAAUAACCUGAAGAUCUUGAUCUGGGUUCUUGAGAUCAUGACCUUUCUGCAGACAUGGUCACAUGGACACAUUGUAUGGCACUGGUGUUCAAAACUGCAACACUGUGACAUUUUCUUGAUGCCCGUAAAUCAGCUGCAACAAGUCCAAGCUCCUGUCAAAACAGCUGAGCCUUGUGACUUGAAGUGCUUCAUGGGAACAAUACAGUGUGGGCGGCGACUGACCGACCGUCAUCCCCACAAAAAGACACAAACAGAACGGAGAACAACCCAGCGACUGAAGAUGAGCUCUUUUAUCUUUACCGGAUGUUUGUCACAUUGCAGGGAAAAGUCCCUACAUGUCUCUGUUGGUUUCUUUGUUUGAAUACACUGCUUGUGAAUCAUUCUGUAACUGCUUCCUUUCUUAAACACCACACAAGUUAUUUCCUCUACCGUAUAACUUCUUCAAACUUAACCCAAUUUAAAGCCUGAACCAUCAUCAGAGCCUCUUUUGCUCAUAUACUCUUUGCUUUUGCAACAUUGUUUUGAUAUAUUUCAUUUAAAAGCAAGUAGAAAAAGAUCUAUAUUACAACUUUAUUAUUACUUAAAACUGCAAUAAACAUCAAAUUGAUAUGGCACUUGCUAGUAAACAAAUGAUCAUUUUCACAUCCAGCAGAUAUGGAGCAACAUUUGGAUUUGUGUUUGGUGCAAAUGUAAGUGCUGAGCUACAGUUAGUCACAGUUUGUUACUUUUUUCUGCUAUUUGGUGGCAGAUAAGAUACAAAAUUUUAAAAAGCUAUCUUCUCUGGCUCAAAGAAACUCUGAUGAGAGUGCUGAGAAAUAAAACAGUAAAGUUGCAGGUUGUGAAAGUAAAUCAAUGAGAUUAAACACCCUAAAACAGCAGCUUGUCAAAGAGCUAAUCUAAUUUGUUUUCAUUAUUCAUGCAAAUUUGAACACUGGAGCCCAGUUUGGCUCAAGUUAAAACAUUUUUCAACCCACCAUAAUUCCUUCAUGUUUCUGUUGACCCCUUGACAUCGCCCAUUGGUUCGGGGUCACGUCUCAAUUUGCGAAAUUC